UUUUAUAAGAAACUAAGUUAUAGUAUAUUUUACACUAUAACUUGUUUCUUAGAAAAAUGACUAGAGGAAUAUGAGACACGUGUUUAAACCUUUUGAGCUUUGAAGAAUUCAUGGUCUCUUUGUACAAUAAACUUGUUCCAGGUCAAUCCCAGUGUGUAUGGAGAUAGGCAAACUCGGUUAUUUGUAUACUGGACGGCUGAUGCUUCAAAGAAAACGGGUUGCUUUGAUCUGACUUGUCCCGGGUUUGUUCAAACUAGCAAUGAAAUUGCAUUGGGUGCUGCAAUUUAUCCAAUAUCAAUUCCUGGUGGGCUUCCAUACAAAAUAAUUAUUUACAUCUAUAAGGAUCCCUAUACCAAUAACUGGUGGGUGCAAUAUG